AUUGAACGCUGGCGGCAGGCCUAACACAUGCAAGUCGGGCGCGCGGCGGACGGGUGAGUACUGUAUGGGGAUCUGCCUGAUGGUGGGGGAUAACUACUGGAAACGGUAGCUAAUACCGCAUACCAUCAGAUGACCCCAUAUGGGAUUAGCUUGUAGGUGUGGUAACGGCUCACCUAGGCGACGCUCCCUAGCUGGUCUGAGCGGAUGAGCAGCCACACUGGGACUGAUACCCGGCCCAGACGCCUCUGGGAGGCAGCAGGGGGGAAUAUUGCACAAGGGGCGCAAGCCUGAUGCAGCCAUGCCGAGUGUAUGAAGAAGGCCGGCGGGUUGUAAAGUAAUUUCAGUCGGGAGGCGUUACCGACAGAAGAAGCACCGGCUAACUCCGUGCCAGCCGCCGCGGUAAUAC
rnacentral:rRNA from 1 species